rnacentral:rRNA from 1 species
CCUACGGGAGACAGCAGUGAGGAAUAUUGGUCAAUGGGCGCGAGCCUGAACCAGCCAAGUAGCGUGAAGGAUGACUGCCCUACGGGUUGUAAACUUCUUUUAUAAAGGAAUAAAGUGCAGUAUGUAUACUGCUUUGCAUGUACCUUAUGAAUAAGGAUCGGCUAACUCCGUGCCAGCAGCCGCGGUAAUACGGAGGAUCCGAGCGUUAUCCGGAUUUAUUGGGUUUAAAGGGAGCGUAGGCGGGUUGUUAAGUCAGUUGUGAAAGUUUGCGGCUCAACCGUAAAAUUGCAGUUGAUACUGGCAGCCUUGAGUACAGUAGAGGUAGGCGGAAUUCGUGGUGUAGCGGUGAAAUGCUUAGAUAUCACGAAGAACUCCGAUUGCGAAGGCAGCAUGCUGGACUGUAACUGACGCUGAUGCUCGAAAGUGUGGGUAUCGAACAGGAUUAGAUACCCCAGUAGUC